rnacentral:rRNA from 1 species
CAUGUCCUUUUGAAUAUUAUUUAAGGUCUAAUCUGCUCAAUGAGGGAUUAAAUUGCCGCGGUAUUAUGACCGUGCGAAGGUAGCAUAAUAAUUAGCUUUUUUAUUGAAAGCUGGAAUGAAUGAUUGGACGAGAAAACACCUGUCUCUGCUAGAUUUUUUGUUGAAUUUAACUUUUAAGUAAAAAGGCUUAAAUUCUUUAUAAAGACGAGAAGACCCUAUAGAGUUUAAUAUAUAGUUUAGUUGGAGGUUUUUGGUAUUUGCUUCUUUAAUUUUUCUAUUUAUUUGGUUGGGGUGACUAGAAGAAAAAAUUAACUCUUCUAUUUUUUUAUUACUGAUUUGUAAAUAAUUAUUCUGGGUUUUCCAAAUUUAAAUUAAAUUACCUUAGGGAUAACAGCGUAAUUUCCUUUCAGAGUUCUUAUUUAAAGGGAAGUUUGCGACCUCGAUGUUGGAUUAAAAUUAAUAUUGGGUGCAGUAGCUCAAUUAUUAGGUCUGUUCGACCUUUAAAAUUUUACAUGAUCUGAGU